rnacentral:rRNA from 1 species
AUGGUUUGCGCCGCCAUCUCAGUAGCCGGCGGACCUGCCACAUCCCUCUCCCGUCGGCCAGCACCCGGCCUCCGUAGCCGCCGCCUGCUCUGGGCUCGCGCGACGAGUCAAUAUACAAUGAGCCGGGUUGCGCCGCGGCUGAGCUCUGCCAUGGUUGGGGCCCCCACCCCCGACCAUGACGAAGCACGCAUAGGUGCGCAAGGAGGAGUGAAGCAAGCACUCAUAUCACUGUCGGAUAAAACAGACUUGGCCAAUCUUGGAAACGGUCUUCAGAGCUUGGGGUUUUCUAUCAUCUCCACUGGUGGUACAGCAUCAAGCCUGGAAGCAGCUGGAGUGAAUGUUACAAAAGUUGAACAGAUUACACAUUUUCCUGAAAUGCUUGAUGGAAGAGUAAAAACAUUGCACCCCAGUAUACAUGGUGGUAUUCUUGCCCGAAGAGACCAGGAGCAUCAUCUUAAAGCAUUGAAUGAGCAUGGCAUCGGGACAUUUGAUGUGGUUGUAGUGAAUUUGUAUCCAUUCUAUGGUAAGGUCACCUCUGGUGCAAUUUCUUUUGAGGAUGGCAUUGAAAAUAUUGAUAUUGGUGGGCCUACAUUGAUCCGGGCUGCAGCGAAGAAUCAUAAGGAUGUUCUUGUUGUUGUGGAUCAUCAUGAUUACCCUGCUCUAUUGAAAUAUCUACAAGAAAAGCAAGCGGACCCGCAGUUCCGCAGGAUGCUAGCAUGGAAAGCUUUACAGCACGUCGCUUCUUAUGAUUCAGCUGUCUCAGAGUGGUUGUGGAAGCAAUCGAACAGUGGAGAUACAUUUCCCCCAAGUUUUACUGUUCCCCUCUCGAUGAAGUCUGCACUUCGUUAUGGUGAAAAUCCUCAUCAAAAGGCGGCAUUUUACGGUGACAGGAGUCUUUCUCUAGUCAAUGCCGGUGGUAUUGCAACAGCAGUUCAGCACCAUGGAAAGGAAAUGUCCUAUAACAACUACUUGGAUGCUGAUGCUGCAUGGAAUUGUGUGUCAGAGUUUGAGAACCCUACUUGUGUUGUGGUUAAGCACACCAAUCCGUGUGGUGUUGCAUCCCGGCAGGAUGUUCUUGAGGCAUAUAGAUUAGCUGUAAAGGCAGAUCCUGUGAGUGCAUUUGGGGGAAUUGUUGCAUUCAACACCACAAUUGACGAGGAUCUUGCAAAGGAGAUCCGUGAGUUUAGAAGUCCUACAGAUGGCGAGACACGGAUGUUCUAUGAGAUCGUGGUGGCACCAGGAUACACAGAGAAGGGCCUCGAGGUCCUCAAAGGGAAAUCGAAGACGUUGAGGAUCCUUGAGGCGAAGAGAAGUGGGAAAAACAUGUUGUCGCUCAGGCAGGUAAGUGGUGGUUGGCUAGCUCAAGAGUCGGACGAUCUAGCCCCAGAAGACAUCACCUUCAUGACGGGUUCUGAGAGAGCUCCGACAGACAGCGAGCUCUCGGAUGCCAAGUUUGCCUGGCUCUGCGUGAAGCACGUCAAGAGCAACGCCAUUGUGAUUGCCAAGGACAAUUGCAUGCUGGGCAUGGGAAGCGGGCAGCCAAACAGGGUGGACAGCCUGAGGAUCGCCUUCAGGAAAGCAGGGGAAGCUGCCAAGGGAGCCGCUCUGGCCAGCGACGCCUUCUUCCCAUUCGCCUGGAAGGACGCCGUGGAGGAGGCGUGCGAGAACGGCAUCGGCACGAUCGCGCAGCCCGGCGGCAGCAUGAGGGACAAGGACGCCGUCGACUGCUGCAACAAGUACGACGUCUCCCUCCUCUUCACCGGCGUCCGCCACUUCAGGCACUAA